rnacentral:misc_RNA from 1 species
CGUGUAUGCGGAGAAGUCUACGCCGCAACAUGUGAAUGCUUCCUUCGUCACAAUCACAACUCGGGGUCCACCGUGGCAGAUCCCAUCAGUUUUCAUCUGACUGAAAAUUCAGGAAAAGUUGAACUCAGUUUGGUUUGUUCUUCAGAGACUCACACUUCAUCUAUCCUUAUUGGGGAAAAGAAACCUAAGUCAGAAACUUCAUGUUCUCUGCAUUUACUGCCUGUGCAAGUUAACUCCUUUGGAGUCAUCAGCAUUGGAUUUCCAUUCCUAAAUCCUCAAUAUUUUGUGAACCCUUCAGAUUUUAUCUAAGUUAUUUCAAUAAAGAAAAUAUCUCCUUCUUGUCUGAUAUUCAUUUAUUGCCAC